rnacentral:rRNA from 1 species
GACGAACGCUGGCGGCGUGCCUAAUACAUGCAAGUCGAACGCAGUGGGGACGGGUGAGUAACACGUGGGUAACCUCCCAUCAGAGGGGAUAACACUUGGAAACAGGUGCUAAACCGAUACUGAUGGAUGGACCCGCGGUGCAUUAGCUAGUUGGUGAGGUAACAGCUCACCAAGGCCACGAUGCAUAGACGACCUGAGCGGGUGAUCGGCCGCACGGGGACUGGGCCACCGCCCAGACUCCUACGGGAGGCAGCAGUAGGGAAUCUUCGGCAAUGGACGAGAGUCGGACCGAGCGACGCAGCGUGAGUGAAGAAGGUGUUCGGAUCUGAAAACGCUGUUGUUAGGGAAACGGUAUCUAACCAGGAAGCCACGGCUAACUACGUGCCAGCCGCCGCGGUAAUAC